GAUCCUGGCUCGGGAUGAACGCUGGCGGCGUGCUUAACACAUGCAAGUCGAGCGAAGCAAUCUAAGUGAAGUUUUCGGAUGGAUCUUAGAUUGACUGAGCGGCGGACGGGUGAGUAACGCGUGGAUAACCUGCCUCACACAGGGGGAUAACAGUUAGAAAUGACUGCUAAUACCGCAUAAGCGCACAGUACCGCAUGGUACAGUGUGAAAAACUCCGGUGGUAUGGGAUGGACCCGCG
rnacentral:rRNA from 1 species